UACGAAGGGGGCUAGCGUUGUUCGGAAUUACUGGGCGUAAAGCGCGCGCAGGCGGUUCUUUAAGUCAGGGGUGAAAGCCCAGAGCUCAACUCUGGAAUUGCCUUUGAAACUAGAGAACUUGGGUACGGGAGAGGUGAGUGGAAUUCCUGGUGUAGCAGUGAAAUGCGUAGAUAUCAGGAGGAACAUCCGUGGCGAAGGCGGCCACCUGGACCAGUACUGACACUGAGGCACGAAAGCGUGGGGAGCAAACAGG
rnacentral:rRNA from 1 species